rnacentral:rRNA from 1 species
UCCUGGCUCACGGACGAACGCUGGCGGCGUGCCUAAGCUUAUGCAAGUCGAACGCGAACGGCUCCUUCGGGAGCCUAGUAGAGUGGCAAACGGGCGAGUAACGCGUGGGUAACGUACCCUGAUCCUGGGAAUAACCCUCGGAAACGAGGGCUAAUACCGAAUGUGGCGAACGACCGGUUGGUCGCUCGCUAAAGGUGGCCUCUUCUAUGCUGCCGGGUUGGGAUCGGCCCGCGUCCCAUUAGCUAGUUGGUGAGGUAACGGCUCACCAAGGCCACGAUGGGUAGCCGGCCUGAGAGGGUGUACGGCCACACUGGCACUGAGACAAGGGCCAGUCCCCUAUGGGAGGCGCAGGCGGGAAUAGUUCACAAUGGGCGAAAGCCUGAUGACGCGACGCCGCGUGAGCGAAGAAGACCUUCGGGUUGUAAAGCUCUGUCAGGAGGGAAGAAGGCUCUACGGGUUAAUAGCCCGUGGAAUUGACGGUACCUCCAGAGGAAGCCCCGGCUAAAUACGUGCCAGCAGCCGCGGUAAUACGUAUGGGGCAAGCGUUGUCCGGAUUUACUGGGCGUAAAGGGCGCGUAGGCGGUUUGUUAAGUCGAAGGUGAAAUCCUCGGGCUCAACUCGAGAAUUGCCUUCGAUACUGGCAAACUAGAGUGGCGGAGAGGAAAGCGGAACUCUUGGUGUAACGGUGGAGUGUGUAGAUAUCAAGAGGAACACCGGUGGCGAAGGCGGCUUUCUGGACGCACACUGACGCUCAGGCGCGAAAGCGUGGGUAGCAAACAGGAUUAGAUACCCUGGUAGUCCACGCCAUAAACGAUGGGUACUAGGUGUCGGGGGUAUCGACCCCUCCGGUGCCGCAGUUAACGCACUAAGUACCCCGNCUGGGGAUUAUGGUCGCAAGGCUGAAACUCAAAGGAAUUGACGGUGCCCCGCACAAGCGGUGGAGCAUGUGUUUAAUUCGACGCAACGCGAAGAACCUUACCUGGG